UUUAAGUAUGCUCUCUCUAAUUCUCUCUUUCUUUCUCUCUCUCGGAGGACCUGAACCCUAGGACCAUGCCUCAGGACGACCUGACAUGAUGACUCCUUGUGAUGACUCAAAGUGAUUAGAAACAUAUGUUGGAAAAAUGGAAACCAAGCUAUCUCGCUAGCUACAGUGCCUACCAAAGUUGUCCGAUGGAUACACUUCCCAUACCCGUGGUGUCGGAAGAGGCUGUAUUGGCAGGUUGGGUUGUUGUUGAUGAUGGGUAAUUGAGGUUGGCCUAUGGAUAUUUGACCCAGCCAGUGGGUUAAUUCUCCCGCCACCAGCGCGUGAAAUCCACUAGGAUAUUUGCAAGUGUUCUAGUGCAACCGAGUGACUGACGAGGGGAAAACGGAUAACGUUAUUUCGACAUGCUAAGUGUGUUUUGGCCGACUGAAAACACUUUGUAAAGAUAUUCUGAAUGAGUGGAACCUGGCCUCAUUGAUUCCAAAAUUUGAGGAACUCAUCCCACGGCUGGUUGGACUGGAUGAUACAGUGCUGGUGGAACGCAAUGGCUGGCAACAAUACCUCACUCCGUACUUUAGGCAGGUGCCACAAAUCAAGCAGUACCAGCACUUCAGCUUCGAUGCUUUGGAGCCUGGUGUUGUUGCCAAGGAGCGUUCUGACUCAGUCGGGGCCAGGUUUCAGCUGCAGCGCAGCGCUGACAUCCUUUCACCUCUAGAUGGUCUAGCUGUACUGGACUGUAUACAGCUAGACAAAAACUAAUCUUUCUGAGAAGAUCAAGGAGUUUUGUGACGAAGAGGCUAUGGACAUCACAUGCCAUUCACCAAAGUCGAGAGCAGGACAGAAACAGGCUCCGAAUAUCGAUUCCCUUGUUCAUGCGUGGUUCGGACGGACCAGUUCAUCACUGGGGGCGAGUUCCCAGUAAUCAGCACUCUGCACUGCCUCUAUUCACUUGACUCUCCUAACACACGCCAUAUGUUGCUUCUACUUUUUUUUUAUCAUAAUGCUCAGCCACUUUACCCCUGAUUUUAUAUGCAUAUAACUACCUCUAUCACUGAUCGUUAUUGAUAUUCUUGUACACACAAUAUAUAAUUUGGUUCUUUCUCUACUGGCAUGGACAAUUGUGUCACUAUAAAGAAAAAAAUAAUCUAUCUUUGAUAUUGCUACUAUGCAAGUAACCAUUUCGCCGUACUGUUUAUACCUUCUGUAGAGACCCAUCCACUUAGCAAGAUGUGCCUGGUGAUUAUAGCAUUUCUUUCACAUGACCCAUCAAUUUAAACAAGUGUGUCUGGGUAAGCAUCAUCUAAUAUUUAUAAAUAUAUUUUUCUGGACACUUUCUGCUUGCCUGGAAUUUUUCAUUAUUGUAGGCUACUACUUUUACUACUUAGUCUUAAUCUUUACUAUACUACUCACUGUUAAGCACAUGACCUCACAUGUGAAUCCUUAAAGAAAUAGGUG